AUUGAACGCUGGCGGCAUGCCUAACACAUGCAAGUCGAACGGGGCAGCAAUGCCUAGUGGCGGACGGGUGAGGAAUACGUAGGAAUCUGCCCUUAAGUGGGGGAUAACCAGGGGAAACCCUGACUAAUACCGCAUGAUCUCUUCGGAGCAAAGAGGGGGACCGCAAGGCCUCUCGCCUCUGGAUGAGCCUACGUCUGAUUAGCUAGUUGGUAGGGUAAAGGCCUACCAAGGCGACGAUCAGUAACUGGUCUGAGAGGAUGAUCAGUCACACCUGAACUGAGACACGGUCCCGACUCCUACGGGAGGCAGCAGUGGGGAAUAUUGGGCAAUGGGCGCAAGCCUGACCCAGCCAUGCCGCGUGCAGGAAGAAGGCGUUAUGCGUUGUAAACUGCUUUUAUACAGGAAGAAACGACCCUUGCGAGGGGCAUUGACGGUACUGUAUGAAUAAGCACCGGCUAACUCCGUGCCAGCCGCCGCAGUAAAAC
rnacentral:rRNA from 1 species